CAUAGAUUCGAGAUGCAAUCACUAGGAAAUCUCACUUUAAUAACACUUGGCCAAGAGUUUCUCUGGCAUGAGCACAUGUUGUUCACACAGUGCACUGGGGAGUCUGACGACUUGGGUGAAGGUUGAUCUGGAAUCUCUUGAUUUGGCCCAGAAUAAGCAUAAAUAUGUUGGCAGUGAUGUUGUUACUUAUACUUUGUGUUCUACUAAUUAAUAAAUGGAGCCUGACUCCAUUGAAAUAAACUGCAGUGAUUUCAUGAAGUCAAAUCAUUUCAGAGACUUUCAAUGCUGUGAACACAACGUGC